rnacentral:rRNA from 1 species
GAACGAACGCUGGCGGCGUGCCUAACACAUGCAAGUCGAGCGAGAAAAGGGGGGCAACUCCCUGAGUACAGCGGCGCACGGGUGAGUAACACGUAGGUGAUCUCCCCUCGAGCCCGGAAUAACCUACCGAAAGGUGGGCUAAUACCGGAUAUGACCACGGAAGCCACGGCUUCUGCGGUGAAAGAUGGCCUCUACCUGUAAGCUAUCACUCAAGGAUGAGCCUGCGUGCCAUUAGCUAGUUGGCGAGGUAACGGCUCACCAAGGCAAUGAUGGCUAGCUGGUCUGAGAGGAUGACCAGCCACACUGGGACUGAAAC